rnacentral:tRNA from 1 species
CGCCAGAUAGCUCAAUCGGUAGAGCACCUGACUAGAGAUUCAGGGAGGCGGGCCCGGGUUCAAAUCCCAGUCUGGUAC